UACAGAGGUCUCAAGCGUUGUUCGGAUUCAUUGGGCGUAAAGGGUGCGUAGGUGGCGCCAUAAGUCGGGUGUGAAAUCUCGGGGCUUAACUCCGAAACUGCAUUCGAUACUGUGGUGCUCGAGGACUGGAGAGGAGACUGGAAUUCAUGGUGUAGCAGUGAAAUGCGUAGAGAUCAAUGAGGAAGACCAGUGGCGAAGGCGGGUCGUCUGGACAAGUUCCGUGACGCUGGAGGCACGA
rnacentral:rRNA from 1 species